GUGGCGGACGGGUGAGGAACGCGUGAGAACCUGCCUCAAGGUCGGGGACAACAGUUGGAAACGACUGCUAAUACCGGAUGAGCCUUCGGGUAAAAGAUUUAUCGCCUAGAGAGGGGCUCGCGUCUGAUUAGCUAGAUGGUGAGGUAAAGGCUUACCAUGGCGACGAUCAGUAGCUGGUCUGAGAGGAUGAGCAGCCACACUGGGACUGAGACACGGCCCAGACUCCUACGGGAGGCAGCAGUGGGGAAUUUUCCGCAAUGGGCGAAAGCCUGACGGAGCAAUACCGCGUGAGGGAGGAAGGCUCUUGGGUUGUAAACCUCAAAACUUAGGGAAGAAAAAAAUGACGGUACCUAAUGUAAGCAUCGGCUAACUCCGUGCCAGCAGCCGCGGUAAUACGGAGGAUGCAAGCGUUAUCCGGAAUCAUUGGGCGUAAAGAGUCCGUAGGUGGCACUUCAAGUCUGCUUUCAAAGACCGAAGCUCAACUUCGGAAAGGGAGUGGAAACUGAAGAGCUGGAGUAUAGUAGGGGUAGAGGGAAUUCCUAGUGUAGCGGUGAAAUGCGUAGAGAUUAGGAAGAACACCAGUGGCGAAGGCGCUCUACUGGGCAUAUACUGACACUGAGGGACGAAAGCUAGGGGAGCGAAAGGGAUUAGAUACCCCUGUAGUCCUA
rnacentral:rRNA from 1 species